CAUAAUGUCAUUUAUUUGAUGUUGUGGGGAAUUAGGACUGUUACCUUGAAAAAAUUAGAGUGUUUAAAGCAGGCUAACGCUUGAAUGCAUUAGCAUGGAAUAAUGAAAAAGGACAUCGCAUUCUAUUUUGUUGGUUUCUAGGAUCGAUGUAAUGAUUAAUAGGGAUAGUUGGGGGCAUUAGUAUUCAAUUGUCAGAGGUGAAAUUCUUGGAUUUAUUGAAGACUAACUGCUGCGAAAGCAUUUGCCAAGGAUGUUUUCAUUAAUCAAGAACGAAAGUUAGGGGAUCGAAGACGAUCAGAUACCGUCGUAGUCUUAACCAUAAACUAUGCCGACUAGGGAUCGGAUGAUGUUGAUUUUUUAAUGACUCAUUCGGCACCUUACGGGAAACCAAAGUGUUUGGGUUCCGGGGGGAGUAUGGUCGCAAGGCUGAAACUUAAAGGAAUUGACGGAAGGGCACCACCAGGGGUGGAGCCUGCG
rnacentral:rRNA from 1 species